GAAAAUUUUCGUCCUAAAAACUUUCAUUAUUUUUGUAGAAUCUUAUCCCGAUAUAACCUCUAAUCUUUGCCAAAUGGACAACAACGUGUUUGUAACUCCUUAAAGAAAGCUGUGGAUUGCAUUUGUGGUCGAGAUUCGAUGUUUUUCAAGCUUGACUUGGCUCAAACUUUAUGUUGUAUUUCAUGCUCCAUCUUGGUAUAAAUGUUGCAUCAGCUGUAUCAAUUAGUUUAGAAAUUGCUUGGAAUUCCUCUGGUUUCUCUUCUUUAAG
rnacentral:lncRNA from 1 species